UGAAGAGCUUCUCCCGGGUGCGUAAAACCUCUGCACAAUGCUCUGGGCUCCUGUGAUUGUUCUCCUGGGGGCAUGGUGCACAGGCGCCAGCUCCCAGCUGGUGGUGACUCAGCCGCUCUCAGUGGCAGAUCCUCUAGGAACGACGGUAAAGCUCUCCUGUGCUCUGAGCAGUGGGUACAGCAUCGGCAAUGACAGGGUGCGAUGGUACCAGCAGAAGCCGGGCAGUGCCCCACGGUUUGUGUACCACUAUUACACCAGCAGUGACCAGGGCAGGGGCACAGGGAUCCCAGCGCGAUUCACCAUCUCUCCUGACACCUCCAACAACCUCUGGAAUUUAGUCAUCUCUGGGGUCCAAGCAGAGGAUGAGGCUGACUAUUACUGCUAUACAUGGGAUG